rnacentral:rRNA from 1 species
AACUAACAAGGAUUCCCCUAGUAACUGCGAGUGAAGCGGGAAGAGCUCAAAUUUGAAAUCUCCUUCGGGCGAGUUGUAAACUGGAGAAGCGUUAUCAGACGUCGNCCGCACUAAAGUCUCCUGGAAUGGAGUGUCAUAGAGGGUGAGAAUCCCGUGCUUGGUGCGAUUGCGGCGUUGUAGAGGCGUUUUCUAUGAGUCGAGUUGUUUGGGAAUGCAGCUCAAAAUGGGUGGUAAACUCCAUCUAAAGCUAAAUACUGGCGAGAGACCGAUAGCGAACAAGUACCGUGAGGGAAAGAUGAAAAGGACUUUGGAAAGAGAGUUAAAGAGUACGUGAAAUUGCUGAAAGGGAAGCGCUUGGAGUGAGUCGCGCGGGCGGGAGUCAGCUCUGCGUACUUCCUGCCCGUGGGCCAGCAUCGACCUUGGACGGCGGAUAAGGGCGGUGGGAAUGUGGCAUCUCCGGAUGUGUUAUAGCCUGCUGUCGUACACGCCGACCGGGGUCGAGGACUGCUUAGAGGAUGCUGGCGUAAUGGCUCUAAG